GACUCAGUUUAAAUAUUUGUUCAGGAUGACCAUCCAUACCUGAGACCUUAUGAAUUCUGCAGCUGACUUUCAGGAAAUUUCUUCAGGAAAUUUCUGCAAGAACAAAGGAGCACAGCUAUUCAGUGUGGUGAUUGUUUUGAAUGAACAAAUGAACAUUUUUGGACUAUAUAUGCAUAAACAAAAAUUUGGAGCUAUAUAUGCCUUCAGGAAGAGAGAGGUUUUUUCCACUGGUCACAGUUCUGGGAGCCAACCUAACACUGGUGGAAGUGGACAAGGAUGGUGGACUCCUGUCUGCACUACUCCAUACCACUGGUCAGGGUUCUGAAAAAAUGGGACACAGCCUUGACUGGCUCUCAGCCUGCCAUGCGGGAACAUGGAAGGAAGAGUACAGAUGGGCUAGGAGUGGACUGCUGGGCACUCUGGGAAUCUAUCCCCAACACAAGGUUUCUCUGUAAACCAAGAGGACAUUCUCAGACCAUCAGUCAGACAAUAUGCCAGUUGGAGCUGGCAUCUGAAUGGACUGUGACAGAUGCUGGAUUUCACUGUGUUGAUUUUAAAUACCAAGCAUCAGAUCUGGUCAGUAUUGAAGUUUAUCUAUCCUUGAUCUCUGACCAUUUAUCUCAUUUUAACAGUGUCUAAUCUGUCAGUAGUACAAAACCAAACUGGUUAAGUAGUACAGAAAUGUGUUGCAGAGUGCCUUAAAAGGCAGAAACAGCCAUUUGUGCUCUGAUUCUAUUAGACCUGAAAAACUAAUCAAGGUUAAGCCUGGAUAGGAAUAGUGGAGGAAAUUUCCAAGGAUAAGCUAGACUAAGAAAGGUAAUACUUAUCAAUUUUUGUCAUUAUCUCAAAUAUUAUGAAGAAAAUGUCAGUAUACUUCAGAUCAGAGACUGUUUUUUUAUUAUUAUUUUUUGAGUGACAUAGUGGUAAAAAUUGAAACCUGAAGACCUGUUUGCUUCCAUUGCUAAAAAAUACCACAGUAUAUAAAAUGUUUAUAAAAGAUAGUAUGUGUUCUUGAUCCAAAACUUGCAAUAGAAAGGCACAGCAGUAUUUCUGUAGAGUACAGUAAAUAAUUUUUUUAAGGAAACCCACAAAAUUGUUUUUGUGAGCAAUGUAGCUGAAAACCAUAAAGGGUAGGUGACAACUUACAUGGAGAGCAAUUGUCUUUUCUAGUAUCCUGAGCUCAUAUGUUGUCACCAUAUUCAAGGAAUAUCUGCAGAUUGCAGCUGCAAUUCAAUCUCAUUUAAUGAGAAAUUGUGGUCGCUGUUAUGAACUCAUGAAAAAUCGCUAAAUUUUCCAUCACAUACACAAUAAAAAUACAUCAUAAUGAGACUGAACA
rnacentral:lncRNA from 1 species